rnacentral:rRNA from 1 species
CACGUUAAACCAUAUUGGGACCGCGGGUCUCGGGGUAGACCCUUUGCCCGCUCCCAUCUCUCGCACAUCGUGCGCCUAGGCGCGCGUUGUGCGGGCUAACGAAACCCGGCGCGGCAUGCGUCAAGGAAAACUCAAAGAAGCGUUGAGCUCCCAUCGCCCCGUUCGCGGUGUGCGGUGGGGGAACUAACGUCUCUACAAUGUCAUAACGACUCUCGGCAACGGAUAUCUCGGCUCUCGCAUCGAUGAAGAACGUAGCGAAAUGCGAUACUUGGUGUGAAUUGCAGAAUCCCGUGAACCAUCGAGUCUUUGAACGCAAGUUGCGCCCGAAGCCAUUCGGCUGAGGGCACGUCUGCCUGGGCGUCACGCAUCGCGUCGCCUCCCCCACCCAAACUCCAUGGGGCGUUUGGGUGCCGGGGGCGGAAAUUGGCCCCCCGUGCGUUUUUUCGCGCGGCC